rnacentral:rRNA from 1 species
GAUGAACGCUAGCUACAGGCUUAACACAUGCAAGUCGAGGGGAAACGAUAGAGAAAGCUUGCUUUUUCUAGGCGUCGACCGGCGCACGGGUGAGUAACGCGUAUCCAACCUGCCCAUCACUUGGGGAUAACCUUGCGAAAGUAAGACUAAUACCCAAUGACGUCUCUAGAAGACAUCUGAAAGAGAUUAAAGAUUUAUCGGUGAUGGAUGGGGAUGCGUCUGAUUAGCUUGUUGGCGGGGUAACGGCCCACCAAGGCGACGAUCAGUAGGGGUUCUGAGAGGAAGGUCCCCCACAUUGGAACUGAGACACGGUCCAAACUCCUACGGGAGGCAGCAGUGAGGAAUAUUGGUCAAUGGACGAGAGUCUGAACCAGCCAAGUAGCGUGCAGGAAGACGGCCCUAUGGGUUGUAAACUGCUUUUAUAAGGGAAUAAAGUGAGUCUCGUGAGACUUUUUGCAUGUACCUUAUGAAUAAGGACCGGCUAAUUCCGUG